AACGAACGCUGGCGGCAUGCCUAACACAUGCAAGUCGAACGAGACCUCCGGGUCUAGUCGCGCACGAGGGCGUAACGCGUGGGAAGCGGCACUUAUGGUCGGAAUAACUCCCCGAAAGGGGUGCCAAUACCGGACAAUGUCUUAGGACGCAAGAUUUAUCGCCCUUGGUGGGGCCCGCGUUGGAUUAGAUGGUUGGGAGGGUAAAAGCCUACCAAGGGGAGGAUCCACAACUGGUCUGAGAGAAUGAUCAGCCACACUGGGACGGAGACGCGGCCCAGACUCCUACGCGAUGCAGGAGUGGGGAAUAGUGGACCAUGGGGGGAAGGCUGAUCCAGCACUGACGCGUGAGUGAUGAUGGCCUUAGGGUUGUAAAGCUCUAUUAACCGGGAUGAUAAUGACGGUACCGGGAGAAUAAGCCCCGGCUAACUACGUG
rnacentral:rRNA from 1 species